rnacentral:rRNA from 1 species
UGGGGAAUAUUGCACAAUGGGCGCAAGCCUGAUGCAGCCAUGCCGCGUGUAUGAAGAAGGCCUUCGGGUUGUAAAGUACUUUCAGCGGGGAGGAAGGGAGUAAAGUUAAUACCUUUGCUCAUUGACGUUACCCGCAGAAGAAGCACCGGCUAACUCCGUGCCAGCAGCCGCGGUAAUACGGAGGGUGCAAGCGUUAAUCGGAAUUACGGGGCGUAAAGCGCACGCAGGCGGUUUGUUAAGUCAGAUGUGAAAUCCCCGGGCUCAACCUGGGAACUGCAUCUGAUACUGGCAAGCUUGAGUCUCGUAGAGGGGGGUAGAAUUCCAGGUGUAGCGGUGAAAUGCGUAGAGAUCUGGAGGAAUACCGGUGGCGAAGGCGGCCCCCUGGACGAAGACUGACGCUCAGGUGCGAAAGCGUGGGGAGCAAACAGG